UGGGGGGGGAAAAAAUUGAUCUCAUGUUCCUUUGAUGUUGUGAGUUCUAAUGUAGUUAGCACAGGUGUGUAUUAAGUGUUUUGUCUUAAUAUUUUCUGUGUGUGUGUGUGUGUGGAAACAGGCAGUAAAAGGGUUGUGGCAGUCUCCGCCUCAAUUAAUUACAACCCCUAAUUAUUUUUUUGUUAUAGUUCUGG